UCCAUCGAAGAUACUUCAGCUUCAGCUCCAAUGCUCUCCCUUGUCUCUAAUCUCGUUCCUCACCUGGCUCCACCAGUUAACAGUUGCAGCUCUUUCUCUGUCAAAAAGCCACAAACAGAAGCUUCUCUGUAUGUCUAUGUAUUUACAAUAAUAACAAGGAAGAGACGGGGACUCAGAGGUUUGGGUGGCUUGGAGCAUGGGUAGUUUGGGCCGAGUUCUGGCUGUUUCUCACUCUAAUAAGCCGCUGCGCCUGUCAGGUCCUCACAGUUUACAUCACUCAAACGGUAGAUUUGUUGGUUUCAACCGCAAAUUGAGCUCGAAAUGGCGAUCUACGGCGUCCGAACUCGAAUCUUCUUCUUUCGCGCCUUCUGUCGACUCUGAUUCCACUGAUAAAAACGCAGCUGGGUUUUGUAUUAUAGAAGGACCUGAAACGGUUCAAGACUUCGCUAAAAUGGAACUGCAAGAAAUUCGAGAUAAUAUUCGAAGUCGGCGGAACAAAAUUUUCUUACAGAUGGAGGAGGUUCGUAGGCUAAGGAUACAGCAGAGAAUCAAGAGUGCUGAGCUCGGGAUUUUAAAGGAAGCGCAAGAGAAUGAGCUUCCUGACUUUCCAUCAUUCAUCCCCUUUUUGCCUCCUUUGAGUGCAGAAAAUCUUAAGCUGUAUUAUGCUACUUGUUUUUCUCUUAUUGCUGGGAUCAUCAUUUUUGGUGGCCUUUUGGCACCUACUUUGGAGCUUAAGCUGGGGUUAGGGGGAACAUCAUAUGAAGAUUUUAUCCGCAGUGUCCAUUUGCCUAUGCAAUUGAGUCAGGUUGAUCCAAUAGUGGCUUCAUUCUCUGGAGGAGCAGUUGGGGUGAUCUCAGCCUUGAUGGUAGUUGAGAUAAACAAUGUAAAACAACAGGAACAUAAAAGAUGCAAAUAUUGUCUUGGAACUGGUGUGUCCUGGAUUCUCUCUACACUCCCCCUCUCCCUUUACCUUUUGUGUCUCUGAACAUUUUUGUCUUGGCUCCAUUUUCUUUAGACCUGAUUUGACUUUGCAUCUCUACUUUCAAAAUGACUCAUUAAUUUAGGUUGGUAGGGUUAGACAAUAAUCAAGCUUAUGAUCCAAGUUCUUGCGCAGCUAUUGAUAUUUUUCCAUCGAACAGAAAUUCGGGUUGUAUUUUAAGCGACUAUAUGUGCUUUCCAGAAUUUGCGUCCAUUUUUUCCACAUCUGCUUGAAAGAGUUUAUCCUUACAGAAAGUUCUAAUAAAAGCACUUUCCUAUCUAUUCAAUGGCACUUUUAUGCUCCUUUUUGUUAUAUCCCCCAAUACCUUCACGGUUUUUCAGUUGCUGAGUUUCCUGUCUAUAUGUAGCUAACUUAAGUACUCAAUGCCUUGCAAUUCAAUUAAUAUAUGGUAAUGAUCAUUAAUAUAGUAUUUGAUAUGUACUAACCUGUUUGAUUUCUCUUUGGGUAAUAUUGAACUUAUAACGGAUAAUUGUGAACAUUCAUAUGUAAAAAUCUCAGAGAAGAGGAGAAUGUGUGUCCUGUACUUAUUUCCAAUAUACACUGGAUAAAUGCAGGUUAUCUUGCUUGUGCUCGUUGCUCUAGCACUGGAUCUCUUGUUCUCAUCGAACCAGUUUCAACAGUCAAUG
rnacentral:misc_RNA from 1 species